rnacentral:lncRNA from 1 species
UUUCAACAUCAAUAAACAUUUUAUUAAAAGUUUGUUCCACAUAUUAGCGUUCCCUCAGUACAUUAUAAGUACUUCAGCUUUCUAUUUGAAGUGACUUUCUUAAAAAUAACUUUUUUCUGCUCAGGAUAACCAGGUAUUAUUAUAGUAUACGUAUUAUAAUAACAAGGUAUAUGUCUUUGACCUCAUGUAUGACUCCCCAGUCACUACAGGAAUAGAUUUACUUUUCAUACACAAAUUGGGAAAGAUGUCAAAUAUUGGUAAGUAUUGAAAAGUUGUAGCUACUCUAAACUGAGUAAAUUAGUGAUCGUACAAGCACUCCAUAAUAGUUGAAUUAAAGGUUUCAAAUUCAGUUAAUUACAUGAAUAUUUGAUAAAUAUGUGAAUGUUCUAAAUAUUAGUUUGACCAAAGUACUAAUUUUCAUUCUAAUGAUUGGAUGUUACAUAGUCUCUACAUAAUGUCAAUUAUACUAAGCGAUAAUGUAAUUUCAAGUUCUUUAAUCAAAAAGUAUGAGUUACUCGUAAUGAAAACUGGCACAUAAGGAGGGGAAAAAAUCUUGUUUAUAAAGCAAGCUGUGCAAAACUACAAGGACAUUGUAGCUUUCCACCAGAUAUGGAGUAUCUGCCAAGAAAAUAUUUUACUCAAUCUUCAAUCUAAAUACUACUAAAACCAAAUUAAGGUUAAAAAUUAUUUUACUAUGCACUUGCAAUUAUACACACAAAAUACUGCUUUGAUAGACAUUUCUCUUUUCACAUUUGUUGUGGUAUACAUCUGAGAAUUACUGUGUGUCUAUAAUAAGCAAAUUUUAUAUUUCUAUAUUUCCUUUUUAAGAGAUGGGGUCUCGUGCUGUUACCCAGGCUGUAGUGCAGUGGUAUGACCUGGCUCACUGCAAUCUCAACCUCCUGGGCUGAAGCGAUCCUCCCACCUCACCCUCCCAAGUAGCUGGGACGACAGUUGCACUGCCAUCAUGCCUGGCUAAUUUUUUUUCAUUUUUUUGUAGACAGGUUCUCGCUAUGUUGCCCAGGCUGGUUUUGAACUUGACCUUAUUUCCUUCAUCUAUGAUCAGUCUAGUUAGAUCACUUGAUUGACACAGACCUAUUCAAAGAAUGUAAUUAUAAACAAAGGAAAAAAUAAAGCUUAUGCAACCCAUAGCAAGGAAAAUUGUCGCCACUCUAAAUUUUAGAAAUCACAUGGAAAUGAAACAUAUGAAAAACUAUCAGUAUGUAUGGUCUAAGAGUUAGCCAGAUUGGCACUUUUAUUCACCAACUUAGUUAAUUUCAGGCAUUUGACAUGUUUCAUUGAGAUCACUUAAUGAUUACAGAAUUGUCAAGCAAAUUAACAUUGGCCAUGCAUCUUAUAAAUU